UGCGCUGUGUGAAGAAGGCCUGGGGUUGUAAAGCACUUUAAGCAGGAAAGAAAGGCGGGAGGUUAAUACCCNUUUUGCUUAUGACGUUACCUUGCAAGAAUAAUGCACCAGGACUAACAUCCGCUGCCAGACAGACCGACGGCUACAUACUGGAGUGGUUGCGAAGCGUUGAAUCAGGACAUUACUAGGGCAGUAACAGCAGCGCCGUUAGGCUGGUUUAGCUAAAGUCCCGCUGUAGAAACGCCCCUGGUGCUAUAAACCGUAGUGGAAACUUGCAAGUUGGACUACCUUGAGUGAUGCCUACGAAGUAAUGAGUACGAAGUGGUAAGUUGAGAAUAUUCCAGGUUGUUAGCAAAGUGAACAUAGCUGUCAGAGCAUUCGAGAAGUGAAACACCAUGUAGAGCGAAUGUGCA
rnacentral:rRNA from 1 species